ACUCCUAUUUUCUAGUCCACUUCUUAUCUGCUGCUUUCGACGCAUUCGAUUGCCAUCCUUCUGCUGCGUCGCCGCCAGCGCAUCCUCCCCCCUCCCCCCCCACACACACACCAAACGCGGCCCUUCAACUCGCGUAAAAUUGCUCCACCCUGCGCACAGAAACGGCCAUCAGAAUUUACCCGUCACGCACACACGUACGGACGCGACGAGCAAAGAAGGACGAAAAGAAGCAUCUCCGGCUGCGCGACACCACCGCUGCGAGUGGUUCUUUCCUCGCGCCCCUUCUGUGCCAUCUGUGCGUCCGUACAUGUGUGUGCGUGCGCGCCUCUCUCUGUGGUUCUCUGUGGCUCUCAUCGUUAUCAGUUUACUUGUUAAAUACUUCGCCUUUCCUUUUUUUUUCUUAGUGCUCUUGAUCCGCGCGUCUUCUCGAGUGCUUGUGUGUGCGUUACGCGUUGAUUUUCGCAUUACCUUCUUCCCUCCAACUGCCCCCCUCUCUCCCUCUCUCCCCACCCCGCUUGUCGCUCUCGCGUUUGCGCUGCCUCUCCGUCUUGCUCCUUUCAAACGACGCAGGAUACCGCAGCAUACCCACAGAUGUGCAUACGGACGCGAGGGCGUUGAGGUCCACAUCUUUACUUCCAUUCUAUGUGUCCAUGUUGUUGCACCUGCCCCCUCUUCUCUUCUCACCUCCCAUCGCCCCUUCCGUCAUUCUACCCUCUUUCGUUCUUUUUGUUCUCUCCUUUUCGUGUGUGCUCUUUAUUCUCCAGUAGUUCGCGGCACUUGUGCGCGUCGGACACCCUUUCUCCCUCUUCGUUUUCGCUAAGGAUUUGUUUCGACUCGGUUCCUUGUUCCUUGUUCCUUCUUCCCUGCUCUCUCUCUUUCUGUCUCCAUCGCUCGGCGUCUAGGACCUUCCUCCCAUACGGUGUCUUCUAGCGCUCUCUCCCUCUCCCUGCUUCCUUGUCUUCCUGCACAGACAGCUGCUUCAGAUUGUGUUUGCCGUUUCUGUUGCCGCGGAGCUCUCCGCAUCGACCCUGCACCCUUCCUCUCCCCAGAAAGGAAAUCAAUCGCGCGAACAUAUACCCAUCAGCACACGCUGAAACUGCAAGGCACUGCUCAGGCGGGGCUAGCGGCAGCGGGAGUGAGUUGUGCAGGCGGAUCUGUGUGAGCGGCAAGCGAAGAGAGCUGGCACACUUGUCUGUCGACUGCGUCGACACGUACACACCGCACAGACGGCGUAUGCGCAAUACUGAUAGGUGAGGAGGGGGGUCUCCCGCAACGUCAGCGGUGCGGCGCGUACCGUUCAACAUCAAGGGGCACGCUGUGCUGCUGGACAGUGCCGCGUGUUUGCCCUAGCGCAUCUGUGUCUCUCUUUCACGUCUCUCAGCGCCACCCGGUGCGUUGUCGGUCAUUUUUUUUUUGUUUGCUCAGCGCUUCUCUCUCUUUGCGCCGUACGGUCUGUACCUGCGCACGUGUGCGUGUGUGCGCUCGAUGCUUGCAUGCUUCUUUCCCCAUUACGCCGUUUUUUUUUUCGCGAACCGCCCAUCACUUGCAUGCGGCUACGCGGCUUUUCGGCCGCCUUCACUGACGUGUCUUGAUAAUCGUCGUUUGUACUUGCCUUUCCUUAUUCUGUAUAUGCUGAUUCUCGUUUUGUCAUCACACAAGCACAGAAGGACACUCACAAGCUUCGGUACACCCUCACACCGUUGCAGCAUACUUCCUUCCCUCCCCGACCCUCACCGCCACUUGUGAUUUCUUUUUUUUCUUUGCUGUUUUCAUUUUGAAUUGUCAUGCUUUGUAUUUGUGGCUCGGCUCGGCUCUUUUUCUCUCCCUCCCGCCCUCGCCCUUGUGCGAGUUCGCUUCCUUGACGCACCUCCUCUUCGGUGUCUCUCUCUGUCGGCGUACUUGUUCGGUUCCGCAUAUCGGCCAAGCAUAAAAGGAAAAAGGAACGGCGCCACAUACACAUAUAUAAUACACAGUUAUAUAUAUAUAUAUAUAUUUACUUCGCCGUCUGCAUUCGCGUCGUUCGUUUUUUUUUUGUUGCUCUAACUUCUCUUUCCUCUUUCUCUCCUCCUGUUAUUCUUCUUAUCUUCGCUGGCUGUUGUUGUUCGUGCGCUGCACUGUGUCGCUGGAUUGGUGACGGCUGUUCGAGUAGUGACUGCCGGUUAUUCUGACGUUUGCCGAUACGUCGUGGGCGGAUUCCUUAGGUCACACACACAUAUAUACAUGUGUGUGUGCGCGUGUGUGCUGUGGUCUUAUUCUUUGUGUACCGUCGCUCUUGGUAGGCUCGUUGUGUGCUUCCCUGCCCACGCGACAGAACCCCUCGCCCUCCUCCCCCUUGCCCCUUCCCCUCUCUUGUCUGCUGCUGCCCUUUUUGUUUUGGUGACGUUAUGCUUUCGGCCUUUCUUAUGUUUGACACUUCUCUGUCACGCCUCUCAUCCUCCCCCCUCCUUCAUUGACGCCCCUCCCCGUGGGAUACGCCUCCCUCUCUCCGUUUUUUUUUUUGUUCCGGCGUCCCUUCCGCUCCUCAUUUGGUUGCGUGCCCUUCAUUUCGGCACUUUGUGCACGUGCCCCUCCACAAACGGUCGCACUCUUUUUUCUUUUUUUUUUCCCUCCAGGGGGAGGUGGGGGAAGAGUUUGCCUGCUUCUGCCUUCCCUCUUUCACACUUCGCUGCAGCGUCGCCCUCCCUCCCUCCUCGCCUGUCUAUGUGUGUAUUUUGUUGUAUGCGCUCUUGUAUCUUGUGUCUUGCUUCCGUAUCUUGGGGCGACUUCCCUUUGUUGGUUUGCUCUUUCCCUUCUCCUCCCCCCACCCCUUUUGUUUAGUCGUUUUUUUUUUUGUUUUCGUGUGUGUCGUUCUCUCCGUCUCAUCCUCUGCUCGUAUAGGUUCUCCUCUCACCCCUUUGCUCCCCCUCCCGCCACCACCCCACUAUCACCACCUCUCCUGUGCGUGUGCUCUCUGACCGACGAGCAGCGUACUCUUCUUGUGUGCGUACCGUUGCCCAUCGGUGCUGUUGUUGAUUCUCCGUGACACCUCGCCCCCUGCUCUCUCCAUCGAACCCUUGUAGCCCUCGUGCGCUUUUCGUGUCCUACACAGACACACAGACUCACAGAUAGCGGGCGAGAGCGAGCUACACGGGCUUGACUUCUUUCAGACUCUUAAUCCUAUUCAAGCCAACGCUGCAGCCUCUUCCAUGCGAAGAGGCCGAGGAGCUGUCCACACGAAAGAGGAAGGGUGCUGGGAUAGGGAUACCGAGCAUAUCACCGCAGCAAACGGAAAGACGCGUGAGAAGAGGACCUUUCAGGCGGCUAUACACCGAAAAGCGCACGCACACAUACGUGCACGUCUCCAGAGCCUUGGAUUAACUACGGAGCAGGCACAACAACGAAAAGACGGGGGAGUGCACGAAGAGAAGGACCCAGCGAAAGAAACAGCACGCCUACACCACGCCCGCACCGCUUCAGGAAGCGAAUUCCUUUUUUUUUUCGGCGAGCUUGGACUCCUUGUGUGCCUACUACCGUUGCUCGUUCGCAGCUGUGGCCGUGGCUGUCUUUGCCGCAGCGGACGCGGUCGUUCUCACUCUUUGCACGCGGCAAGGAGCGCAAACAAGCGAGAACCAUCACCACUACUGCAGCAGCAGCCAGAACAGAGAGCAGGCAGAAAGCGACUACCACCACUACAGCAGGCUAACACAAAAGGAGCGAAGGGAGAGCGUCUAGUUGGUGCACACGUCAGAGAAUCCACCCGACACCACUUCACGAACUUCCUCCACUUUCAUUGGUCUCCGCUGUCGAACACUUGCCAUUCGUUUUUGUUUUGUAGGUUUCUUUCGAAGCACCUCUCGUCUUGUUUGUUGGCGUAGCGACACCGACGCCUCUGCGCCCGCAUAACGUGCACCUAAACACGCUCCUUCUCCAGUGUUUGAUUUUUUUCUGCUCGGCCUCCUCGAAAACCCUACUCGGACGUGCGACCAACGCGCAACGACGUACACGCGUACUGAAGUGAUAGAUACGUUACAAGUGCGUUCUUGGCAAGUAGGAGAUCGCGAAGAGGAACGUUGCUGGUGCCGGUGCUGGUGCGUUGUUGGUCGGUUUCUUCGUCUAUUUUUUUUUUGUCUUCUUGGUGUUUGCGAUUUGAUGCUCGACACACACACACACACACACACACACUCAAACACGCACGCAUAAUAUAUUUUGGUUGUCUCGACGAUACCGACGGUUCGACCUCUCCCUUCUCAUUCACUGUAUUGCUUUGCCCCCCCCCUCUCCCUCUUCCUCUCCCUUUUGUGUUGCUCGCCCUCCUCCUUGCCUUCCUUCGUCCCCUUCCGCCCUUUCCGUCGUUGGCGUUGUUGUUGCGCACCCAGUUGCCUUCCGCAGAAUUCGUCUUUGUGUGUGUGCGUGUGUGUGUCGGUUCUCUGUCACAAGCGGCUGCGGCCCCUCACCUUCAACCGGUGCGCUGUUCUUUUCCACCACGUCAGCUCUAUUGAUGUGGUGCUGAUUACUUCUUUCUCGGUCUGCCGUCGGUUGCCCUUCACCGUUGUACGAGUGUGCCACGCCGGGGAGGAGGAGGGGGGGCCUGGGCGAGCGUCGGUGAGCUCAACCGGACACAAAGCAGAAGGGCCCCGCUGCAUCUGUGCACCCAGCGCUCCAUCGAGGGAAAGGGAAAAGCUCCAUCAUGACGCAACCCGUGCAGCAACCGCGGCCCCGGCGCGGCAGCGAUUUUGUUCUUCCUGAAGUUCCCAUUCUCGAGUCGCCGGAGUGGAGUGACGAGGAUGACGACAUCAACCUGAUGCGAACGCCGUCGAGCGUAGAGGCGGAAGCCCGCGCGCCUGCCGCGCGCAUCGCUGACAACCCCCCAACGCUCAGUCCGGCAAUGCACCUGCCUCCGAUGGCUCGUGGCGCGUCGCCGCUCUUUGCGCAUCAGAUGGCGCCACCGUCGGCUGGAUGUAACUACCCCUGCAGUUACGAGGCCGCGCGGGUCAGCGACAGCCGCAACGCUAAUGAAGGCAAUCGCCGUUCUUGUGUGAAUCGGAAAGCGAACGGCGGUGGUGACACGGGUGACAGCGUCACCCCGUGCAGCUGCGACGCGGCUAGGAAGCAGCACACGACUCUCAACGUUGGCCCGCGCGAAUGCUGGCCGGUCGACGGCCACAACGGGAACCACAGUGACUCGCCCCCGCAGCUGAGCAUAGGGUCGUUUGUUUCGGUGCGGGGGCGCAGUUGCUUCCCGUUCGAGGUCGGAAGCUUGUUUGUGUCGUCCACGCAUCACCUCGGCUGCAGCGGCGGCGACGGCGACGACGACGAAUCAAGCAGCGCGGCAACGGGCAGCAGCAACAGCAGCAGCGACACUGACCGCACCAGGACGAGCGGUGGCUCCACCGACAGCAGCUCGUACUACGAGCAGCAGAGGGCGUCGAUGGGGCCGUUCUCCCACGGCUCCACACAGGUAGGGGGACUGCUGGGCGGCGGAAGGUGUCCGCAGCAGCCAUCGGCCCCCUCCUACGGCAUCGAGGUCGGCCCGUCCGUCUUUGUCAGGGUGCCGCAACAGAACCCCUCGCUACUCGCCACCCCUGUCGUCGGGCGGACCGGCUUAUGACGGCUGCCGAGGCAGCUCCAUCAAUCUUUCACACCUUCUUCCACGAGGACGAUGGCUCGUACGACAUGGCCGGCUUCCACCACGACAGCGCAUCUGCGUCCUGUCGGGAUGAUGUGGCAGCGCCGUCCAUGACGCUCAGCGGCGCCUCGGCUGGCGCUGCGAACGGCGGCGCGCGCGUGGCGGCGUCCUGCAGCCGCGAAAGAAGGACUGAUGCGACGAACUCGGCUGCUGCAGGGACGCACCGAGACUCGAGCAGCCACACAAUUACGACAGCCAGCGGCGGCGGUGGACUGCAGCGUGGCCCGUUCAGCAACCGCCACCAGGGCUCCUUCUUCACGACGGUGGACGAGGCGCUGUACGAGACGCACACCCACCCGACCGCGUCACGCUCGCCGAAUGCGGUUGUGCUGGUGUCUAGUGACGCGCCUCCCAUGCACCCCAUGGAUGCGUUUCAGGCAAGCAAAGUCACGACGGAGUCGCAGCACCAACAUCAAGGCACCACUCACAACGGCAAUAACAACAACAACCGAGAUACGCGGCGAAGGCCGACGCUGCCGGUUUCGUGGAAUUCUUCACCACCAGAGAAGACGAGCACACAGCUCAGCGGCGACCAUGCAGCGUUGGCGGAGUACGUACUCCUACCCAGGAGAGAUAUGAGUCCUAUGAUGCCGUCGGUGGCCACGGCCAAGAGCACGCCGGCGAGCAACAGCGGCGUCGGCGAUGCAAAAUGCCGGGGUGAUACGCGGGACGGCGGCAAGGACUCACGGCUACAGGAACAGGGCACUCGCUUUCUCGGGUCUGCCAACCCGAGGCCUGACAUCUUGCUCGGGAGGGACGUCACGGAGGGCGACACCCGUGACAACGAAGGCGGCCUCUACCCGAGCAUGGUAUGGAUAAAGGCGAAGCAGCUCUCCAGUGCACCAUCUUCGGUACCGACGCCCCAUUCAAGUGCGAAGCCGAACACCAAACGGUUCAACUUUCGAAGUCGCAUCACAGCACGCGGACACGGGGCCGCCACCGCGCCGGUUGCGGGUGCAACUGCGAGCAAUCAGGCACAAGCUGUAUCUGAUCGCCGCUGCACAGAUUCGACGGCUUCUUCCCUCGAGGCGCCUGGCGGCACUGGCUUCGGUGCCACGGAUUCUGUAACGAACUGCACCGCUGAUGCCGGCGGCGGCGACCGUGCUGGACACAACGCUGUCGUGAUAGACUGGGACGAUUACGGCCUCCUGGCGUGGGCCAUUGAAAGUCCUCUUAGAGCGUACCUCGAGUCUGUCGCAGCGUUCGGUGCGCCAGGCGGCGACGGCGGCGCCGUUGCAGCGAACAAAUCGGUGAAGGUCACCGACAGCGUGUCCUCGCACACGACCAGCAAGAAGGCUGCGCUGCCCAUCUCCAUGAAGGCUUCUUCUACGAAACCGACGCGUAGAUGGACCGACAAGGUCAGACCCCGCCGCGGCGAGAGCCCGCACACGGCCGUGACGUUUGUCGAGGAAACCGACCCGUUUGCCCCCGUCAACGGUGACAAGACACCAUCCAGCGGCGCCACUCUGGCUGCGCCGCAGUGUGAACCGGUGCCGAGCACCCCGCCGCAUCUGCUAGCGACGAUGGCGGCUGUGACGACUGAAUUUGGUCGCCCACAGUCGCCGCCGACCGCUUCGCUUCUGUCUCCCCCGACGUACAGCAUGCUGGCCGUCACGACGGGCAAAGUGGCUGGUAGCAGCACCCCUGCGGCGGCCGCGCCACCGUCGAGUGUGAGCGGCGAGCCUUCUGUUGCCACCACAGCGGCCGGCCCGCGUGCGGCGCCUUCCCACACCUUGAGCCGCCCCGGCGAGUACUUCAACAGCUUCCAUACCAACCUAAUUAUCACUGGUUCCCUGGGCGACGAGGACAACGCGAGUGAUGCCGUGCUGGUGUCCCCGCUGCCGAACAUGUCAAGCCCGGCUGGCGCGGAAGGGCACAUGACGGACGCCGAUCAACGCCGUCUGAGCAGCAUCAGCGGUGGCAGUCGCCAGAACCGUCCUACGAUUCCGUCGUUUCAGUGGCCAGGCCAACAGCGGCAGCAACGGAACGGUGGCCGGAUGGGUCCCCACAUCUUGAUUCCUUCCUCAUCCGCGUCUUCCUCUGCAGCGGCGGCCAGCACCUCCGCUGCAUCUACGGCUCUCGCGUGGAGGGAGAUGGCAGGCGCUCAAGGCAGCACGCUUGCCACCUUAAAGGACGACUAUGAGCUGCUUACGGUAGGCACGGACGUAAGCAGCUCCAACGGAGGGGGUACUGGCGGAUUUGUGACUUUGGAAGCACGCGCGAACCUCUCCGCGGAGACUCAGUCGUCCCCCGCGAACUUGGGGCAGGCUGCAUCUGGGCCCCCUAUUAUCGAAGACCCGCGCGAGGUCGGCUCUGUAGACAACAGCCGCCGCCGCUCAGAACCAGCCUCCAUUGUAAGCGCCGAGGAAGUGCAGCCACCUCGGAUAGGCGUAAGUCGUCGCACUGGCGCCGGCACGCAUCUCCGGUAGAGCGGUGAAGAGAACGCUGCUCUUCGCGACACAACCCGGCUCAUUUUGCAUACAGGACGCUAGCGUCUGCGGCGGUUCUCAUCCUGAAUACAGCUAUCGUGGGCGGACUACUUCCUUCUCGGCUACCGCGCUGGCCUGGCCUGUCGAUCAGGCAGAAAGAGCUCGCCGCUGCCACCUGCGUAAAAUACUAUGCCAGUGCUGACGAAGGCGGCAACAUCGAACUCCGGGGAAGGCGGGGCACGCCACAACUCGGCCGGCACGCCACCUCAGAAAACCCGUCCUCGUUCCCCGUCUCUCGAAGGUCGCAGCGACACGCGAUCCUCGCGAAGUGCAUGACCAUGUAAGCGAGCGAGGGCGUACGCUCGCCCCACUUUAAAGCGUGCGUGCCACCUCAACGGGACAGCAUAGGUGUGCGUGCAUUGAUGUCGAUGUGCGCGCACCCCCUUGUCGUUUGCCCUUAUCGGUAGUUGGCCCACUCCCACCUUUCACUUCGACCUGUGCGGCUCAUCCCCUCCUCCUCCUCGUCUCCGGCGCUCCUUGUUGGCUUUCGCGACAAGGAAUAGGGAGCAGAGAAGCACCAAACAACAGCCGUCGGUUCUUCGUUGUGUGUCUCUGACUUUUUCUGCUGUCCACGUCGGCGUAUCUAUGUGCGUGUGUUCUGUGCCUGCGUGAGUGGGGACGGCCUGCGCGAUACCGGGGGUGGUCCGUGUACAGGCGCGCAGACGAAGCACCGUCAUCUUUUCACCUCACCAUUCCCCUUUUCUUUGUCUGUAUGUGUACGCAUGUAUGCACUCUGCUGGUGCGAUGCACAGCGGCAUGCGCAGGCGAAGAGACGACGAAAACGGCAAGGAAAAAAUGGGCGGCCGCUCCAUGCGUGUCCGGGAAAGGAGGGGAUAGAGGCAGAGCGCGCUUACACCACCUCUUACCCGAGUUCCCUUCUCUUUCCUGCACCACCUCUUCUCUGUGCAGUGUGCCCAUCUCCCCCCCUCCUCCUCCGGCGUUCUUCUUCACAGGGCUUUGUAAGGUGGGGCGGGGUGCGGUGGUGGUGGCCGUGCCACAUUUCUCCCUCGCACUUUUCGCGUUGCGUCGUUCGUUGCGUUUCUGAUUACGGGCGUUUC
rnacentral:misc_RNA from 1 species